UAAGGAAUAUUGGGCAAUGGGCGGGAGCCUGACCCAGCCAUGCCGCGUGCAGGAAGACGGCCCUAUGGGUUGUAAACUGCUUUUGUUUGGGACUAACAGCCGGGUCGUGACCCGGCCUGCAGGUACCGAAUGAAUAAGCAUCGGCUAACUCCGUGCCAGCAGCCGCGGUAAUACGGAGGAUGCGAGCGUUAUCCGGAUUUAUUGGGUUUAAAGGGUGCGUAGGCUGGUAAUUAAGUCAGUGGUGAAAUACUCCGGCUCAACCGGGGGGCUGCCGUUGAUACUGGUUACCUUGAGUUUAGAUGA
rnacentral:rRNA from 1 species